rnacentral:rRNA from 1 species
AUUGAACGCUGGCGGCAGGCCUAACACAUGCAAGUCGAGCGAGAAAGGUCUUCGGACUGAGUACAGCGGCGGACGGGUGAGUAAUGCGCAGGAAUCUACCUGGUAGUGGGGGAUAACUCGGGGAAACUCGAACUAAUACCGCAUACGCCCUACGGGGAAAGCGGGGACCUUCGGGCCUCGCGCUAUCAGAUGAGCCUGCGUAGGAUUAGCUUGUUGGUGAGGUAAAGGCUCACCAAGGCGACGAUCCUUAGCUGGUCUGAGAGGAUGAUCAGCCACACUGGAACUGAGACACGGUCCAGACUCCUACGGGAGGCAGCAGUGGGGAAUAUUGCGCAAUGGGCGAAAGCCUGACGCAGCCAUGCCGCGUGUGUGAAGAAGGCCCUUGGGUUGUAAAGCACUUUCAAUUGGGAAGAAAGGUUGCGUGUUAAUAGCACGUAGCUGUGACGUUACCUUUAGAAGAAGCACCGGCUAACUCCGUGCCAGCAGCCGGGUAAAG